rnacentral:rRNA from 1 species
AUUGAACGCUGGCGGCAGGCCUAACACAUGCAAGUCGAACGGUAACAGGAAGCAGCUUGCUGCUUCGCUGACGAGUGGCGGACGGGUGAGUAAUGUCUGGGAAGCUGCCUGAUGGAGGGGGAUAACUACUGGAAACGGUAGCUAAUACCGCAUAAUGUCGCAAGACCAAAGAGGGGGACCUUCGGGCCUCUUGCCAUCGGAUGUGCCCAGAUGGGAUUAGCUUGUUGGUGGGGUAACGGCUCACCAAGGCGACGAUCCCUAGCUGGUCUGAGAGGAUGACCAGCCACACUGGGACUGGGACACGGUCCAGACUCCUACGGGAGGCAGCAGUGGGGAAUAUUGCACAAUGGGCGCAAGCCUGAUGCAGCCAUGCCGCGUGUAUGAAGAAGGCCUUCGGGUUGUAAAGUACUUUCAGCGGGGAGGAAGGGAGUAAAGUUAAUACCUUUGCUCAUUGACGUUACCCGCAGAAGAAGCACCGGCUAACUCCGUG